rnacentral:rRNA from 1 species
UACGUAGGGUGCAAGCGUUAAUCGGAAUUACUGGGCGUAAAGCGUGCGCAGGCGGUUUUGUAAGUCUGUCGUGAAAUCCCCGGGCUCAACCUGGGAAUGGCAAUGGAUACUGGAUAGCUAGAGUGUGAUAGAGGAUGGUGGAAUUCCCGGUGUAGCGGUGAAAUGCGUAGAGAUCGGGAGGAACAUCUGUGGCGAAAGCGGCUCACUGGACCAUAACUGACGCUGAUGCACGAAAGCUGGGGGAGCAAACAGG